rnacentral:rRNA from 1 species
CGGGAGCGCGCCGGCAUUUGGGACGGAGAGGGAAGGGGAGGGGGGAUAGGGGGGCGGGGGUUUGGGGGCGGAGGAGAGCGAGCGGCGGCGAGAGGACGAGCGCAGAGGGAGCGUCCCGGGGCUUCCCUGCCGCCGAGCAACUACGAGCGCGCGCGGCGGCGGACGGGUAUCGGCUCCAACGGGUUGUGCCGCGGGACGCCGAAGCCAACGCCGCCGCCCCCUCGCCCUCCCGAGCCGCCUCCUCCGCCCCCGUCCGACUCCGCCGAGCAGUCGAGGGACCGGUACCGGCGCGGCCGCGGGCACGGGCGCGUCGAGGCCUCCACGGGGACGAGGCGCGGGGAGACCGGCGGGAGGGGGGAGGAGGCGGCGGUGGCGGCGCGGAGCGGGAAGCAGCCGCCGUCCUCCGUCCCUAUGAGAGUGUCAAGACCGGAACCUUAGUUUCUGUUAUCGCGGAAGUCCGGGCCUCAUAUAGAGUUGAAGUUGCACGUUUCGUCACGCGUUCUUACCUUUCUCCUCUCGUUCUCCUAUACAAGAUAGUUUUGGUGGUUACGACAGUACUUGUUACAAAUAUUACCAAUGCGAGACGCUAGUCCUUUAGAAGUAGUACUAGGGAACCUUCUAACGUUCUGGAGGUUGGUCAGAGGUAACAUGUCACAUUCUCUUUCUUACCGAGGAUUGAGAGAACGUUUAUCUGUGCGGUUAUACCUUAACCGUUUCGUUGUACACUACUCAGGGUGACGUCCACGACACAGUCGUGACUGGUCACGACACCUAAUACUGUAGUUUAGCGAUUUGUCCAGAUCACUGAGGCUUCACCUUUAGGUUACCGGAUUACCAAGGUUUUAACUGCGAAGAGACGGUUUAUAAGUAGUUCAGUUUUUCCCGGACGUCAAACCACCGUUCCGACUACUAAUACUACUUCAACUCGUACUUACGUGUCGGUUUUGACACCAAUUACUACUGUAGUUUGACGGUUUGUCCGGUUCACCAAGACUCCACCUCUACGUAACCGGAUGACCGAGGCUCUAACUACUAAGAGACGAUUGAUGACCAUUUCAGUUUUCCUCGGGAUUCUAAGCAUUUCAGUUCUUCUCGGGAGUCAAAUUACUGAACCGAUAUCUACCAAUAUUACUUCGACUCGUACUUACGUGUCGGUUCUGUCGCCAUGUCGGAGGAGGUCGAUUUCGGGGGAACAGGUUCCUCCGAUUUCUACGUGCCCUCCGAGAACGAUGGUAGAUGCUGUUUCAAGACCACCAGCUGUGGCAACUUAGUCGAUCCUCACAACAAGUCGAUGAAUGGUGUUUCAUGUUCUCGAAAUAAGUACGUACACUGUGUCUCCACAGUUUAUAACUACAAUUUGUUCUCUGUGGUCAACCGGUACCUCUACAGUGUACGAAAUCGUAGAUAAGACGGUCGAGACUGCGACUUCGACUAAAACCUUUACCAUUUUGUACGUAAACCCACCUACAUGACCUACCACUUUCCCUACAGGAGUACCUCAAACAAGGGAAGAAACUUCUAAGUCGCUAGGCCUUCCAUACCGUGUUGAUAUCAAAGCUAUUUGUACAUUAACUCUUGAUACCUUAGUUUCAACGACCUAAAGUACGACUAUGUUACGUAGAGCGUGCCGAAACCCUGAGAAGCUCUUCUGAACUACCUCCUAUAAGUGAGCUUCCUGAGUGUUUACUAUCGUCUCAGUACCCACACCAGGGUUUCCUUGAUGUUUUCUAACCUUUCUCUAGUUACUUUUGGUAGAAACCGUCCUUUUUCUAAUUUUUUCUACCGAGGCUUCCUUUUUAAUGAUGGUAUCUCAGACAACUCCAAAACGUUUCUCUCCUAUCUCUCGACACCUAGUCGAUAAGAAGAAAUCUAAGUCACUCAUGGAACUCCGAAAUACUUUCGAACUUUUCAUUCGAACUUUUUUUCGUGACCAGCAAACUACCAACGGGGUCUCCAAGUAACAUACUAAAGAUGCUCCUCAUGACCGCAGGAAAGCCGCGAUAAGAACAUUUUUACCUUUGUCGACCUUACGAACAACUGGCACGAAUGGACAGUCUCUAACUUUUUCAACGACAACGUGUCGCUUUUCAUCGACGUCUAUUUAAAGUCUUUACCCGUAGAUUUAUAACGGGACUACGUUUCAUGUACUUACAAUUAUCACUAUGGGUCUAAGCGGUUGAGAAGAAACCACCGUAUCUUUUAUCUGCGUUGGGACCACUUAAAAACGGUUUCUCAUCCUGAAACUUUCAGGGUUUACUACAGUUGUGUCAAUGUCUCCCGUUCUUCCGAGGUUUCAUAGCGUGUUAACUUUAAACGUCAUAACACCUUCCAGAUUUUGGACUCCAUAAGUGACGUUCGCCGACCGGAAGUCAGUCACCGCUACGAAACUCUUCAAACCGACCCUUUAACUUUUGACUAGAAAUGUGUUGCCUCCUACGUCUCCUACUACUUAUACAGUCACUAAGUCUUUAAAGACACCUACUGUAUCUUCUGCGAUGGAGCAUACCGUGACGUAUGUUUCGUAAACCUCCACCUUUCCUUCCUUUCCUUCGUACAAUACGGUAACGUCGAGAGACGCUCUAGACGAGAUAUCUAAGUAACUAUAGUUUAAAAUAAGAUGGGAAUGUCCCUUUAGCAUAUAGGACAUUCCUCCCCUCCUAGGUGACAAGGAAUUUAUAGUUGUGACUUUGACCUGCAAACAGUCGUUCCCGCGGCUUAAAUGUCUUAGUUGGACGUGAACUUUUCCUAGCCAUGUUUUAGGCGGUUCGAAAACAACGUCGAGGCCCCUUGAGAGAAUAACAACGACUAAUACCAGUCGACCUCGAGUCCUAGGACCGUGUAGAACGAUUAACAUCUUCAUACAAUCUACGGAAGUUUCGACCGCCACUGAAGGUAAGGUCCUGUCGGUACUUAUACAUGGUCGUAUAAGCACUCCGACAACUUCUUUUCUCUCAUGAAGAACUCACCCUAGGAGUUGGACCAGUUCUCUUUGGGGGACACGGUAACAACUUCCUACGUAAACCACGACUCUCCUCCUUUCGAUUCUACGAGUUAAAGAGGUAACGUAUACCUUUUUGUCGACGACCCGAACGAGCCCUAACCUUCCAUAGUUUUUCCCUUCGUCUACUAUGUGACCUAGAGACCAUGUCGCUGUCUUUUCUUCAAGCAAGUACCGUUUUCCUUGUCUUUCUUAAUCGUAUACUCUUCAGACUUCAAAUAUGAAACGAACCUGCUAGAGCGGCAAAGGGGUUGUAAUGAAGACAUUUGAGAUUUGUCACCUUCGUGUAGCUCGCACGACGGUAGUUACGAGGACAUGUCCCGUCACGUCGUCUACAACGCUACACACGUUACUAACUCUAUCUUUCCUUAUGGGCAGAAUUCCUCGAGCCAACCUGGGAGGACAACGUCCACGUGCUGCUCCACUAUGACCUUCCUGGAAGGCUCAGCCGACUCCACCGGUUCCGUUAUCACCAACUCACGUACAGAUUCGGGAAGAUGCCGUGGUUGUAGGACAGCCAACUGGACCGACAACUACGUUUUACGCGUGUCUUGACCAUGCGCCGUUUCAUCUGAGGGUCGUAGCAAUGGAGAGGCAGCUGAGGGGUUGUACCACAUCAACGCGGGGUCUACGCGUGUAUGAGGUCGGUUAAAACCAGGCAGAACUCGACCAUAGUCGACGACGGAUACUCGACCCGUACAAAUUCCGCCGUAGGACGGGACCGUCGUCUUUUUACUCGAAUCGUCGCUUCCGUAACAUGUGAUCGUGAAUCCGACCUAUCGACCUGAGGGUGUGGGAAGGAUCAUCCUUAAGACUUGAGACUUAGCUCGAUCUCCCUUACAUCAAUUCUAACCGUACGUAAAACACAUAUUCUAAGGACGGCACACUAUUACAUAAUCCAAUCUAUUGUAUAAGACGACUACACCUGUACUAGUACCACUAUACUAAAACCAAGACUAGUUAGCUUUUUGCAACAAGUACUACUCGAAAGGGAGAUCCUAGAGUAGAAAAACUACCGUU